rnacentral:rRNA from 1 species
CGGGGUGCAGCAGGCGCGAAAACUUUGCAAUGCGGGAAACCGUGACAAGGGAACUCUGAGUGCCCGUUAAAUCGGGCUGUCCAUCGGUUUAAAUAACCGGUGAAGAAAGGGCCGGGCAAGACCGGUGCCAGCCGCCGCGGUAAUACCGGCGGCUCGAGUGGUGGCCACUAUUACUGGGCUUAAAGCGUUCGUAGCUGGUUUGUUAAGUCUCUGGGGAAAUCUUCCGGCUUAACCGGAAGGCGUCUCAGGGAUACUGGCAGACUAGGGACCGGGAGAGGUGAGAGGUACUCCAGGGGUAGGAGUGAAAUCCUGUAAUCCUUGGGGGACCACCUGUGGCGAAGGCGUCUCACCAGAACGGCUCCGACAGUGAGGGACGAAAGCUGGGGGAGCAAACCGGAUUAGAUACCCGGGUAGUCCCAGCUGUAAACGAUGUGCGUUAGGUGUAUCGGUGACCACGAGUCACCGAGGUGCCGAAGAGAAAUCGUGAAACGUACCGCCUGGGAAGUACGGUCGCAAGGCUGAAACUUAAAGGAAUUGGCGG